rnacentral:rRNA from 11 species
GUUGUAAAGCAUGCUGGACGUAUCAGAAGUGCGAAUGCUGACAUGAGUAACGAUAAUGGGAGUGAAAAACUCCCACGCCGGAAGACCAAGGUUUCCUGUCCCAUGCUAAUCAGGGCAGGGUAAGUCGGCCCCUAAGGCGAGGCAGAAAUGCGUAGUCGAUGGGAAGCAGGUUAAUAUUCCUGCACCAGUGGGUAGUGACGGAUCUCGUGUGUCGUCAGUCCUUAUCGGAUUGAACUGGCGGCGAAGAGGUCCCUGGAAAUAGCUCCCACAUGAGACCGUACCCCAAACCGACACAGGUGGUCAGGUAGAGAAUACUAAGGCGCUUGAGAGAACUCGGGUGAAGGAACUCGGCAAAAUUGUACCGUAACUUCGGGAGAAGGUACGCUGCCGAUGGUGAGUAGACAUGCUCUACAAAGCUAUUGGCAGUCGCAGAUACCAGGCCGCUGCAACUGUUUAUUAAAAACACAGCACUGUGCAAACACGAAAGUGGACGUAUACGGUGUGACGCCUGCCCGGUGCCGGAAGGUUAAUUGAUGGGGUUAGUUUUCGGACGAAGCUCUUGAUCGAAGCCCCGGUAAACGGCGGCCGUAACAAUAACGGUCCUAAGGUAGCGAAAUUCCUUGUCGGGUAAGUUCCGACCUGCACGAAUGGUGUAACCAUGGCCACGCUGUCUCCACCCGAGACUCAGUGAAAUUGAAAUCGCAGUGAAGAUGCUGUGUACCCGCACCUAGACGGAAAGACCCCGUGAACCUUUACUACAGCUUGGCACUGAACAUUGAACCUACAUGUGUAGGAUAGGUGGGAGGCUUUGAAGCACAGUCGCUAGAUUGUGUGGAGCCGUCCUUGAAAUACCACCCUUGUAUGUUUGAUGUUCUAACAUUGUUCCCUUAUCGGGAAUGUGGACAGUGUCUGGUGGGUAGUUUGACUGGGGCGGUCUCCUCCCAAAUAGUAACGGAGGAGCACGAAGGUUAGCUAAUCACGGUCGGACAUCGUGAGGUUAGUGCAAUGGCAUAAGCUAGCUUAACUGCGAGACAGACACGUCGAGCAGGUACGAAAGUAGGUCAUAGUGAUCCGGUGGUUCUGUAUGGGAAAGC